rnacentral:rRNA from 1 species
CUUGAGGUAUAAUGCAAGUACGGUCGUUUUAGGUUUUACCAACUGCGGCUAAUCUUUUUUUAUACUGAGCGUAUUGGAACGUUAUCGAUAAGAAGAGAGCGUCUAGGCGAACAAUGUUCUUAAAGUUUGACCUCAAAUCAGGUAGGAGUACCCGCUGAACUUAAGCAUAUCAAUAAGCGGAGGAAAAGAAACCAACCGGGAUUGCCUUAGUAACGGCGAGUGAAGCGGCAAAAGCUCAAAUUUGAAAUCUGGUACCUUCGGUGCCCGAGUUGUAAUUUGGAGAGGGCAACUUUGGGGCCGUUCCUUGUCUAUGUUCCUUGGAACAGGACGUCAUAGAGGGUGAGAAUCCCGUGUGGCGAGGAGUGCGGUUCUUUGUAAAGUGCCUUCGAAGAGUCGAGUUGUUUGGGAAUGCAGCUCUAAGUGGGUGGUAAAUUCCAUCUAAAGCUAAAUAUUGGCGAGAGACCGAUAGCGAACAAGUACAGUGAUGGAAAGAUGAAAAGAACUUUGAAAAGAGAGUGAAAAAGUACGUGAAAUUGUUGAAAGGGAAGGGCAUUUGAUCAGACAUGGUGUUUUGUGCCCUCUGCUCCUUGUGGGUAGGGGAAUCUCGCAUUUCACUGGGCCAGCAUCAGUUUUGGUGGCAGGAUAAAUCCAUAGGAAUGUAGCUUGCCUCGGUAAGUAUUAUAGCCUGUGGGAAUACUGCCAGCUGGGACUGAGGACUGCGACGUAAGUCAAGGAUGCUGGCAUAAUGGUUAUAUGCCGCCCGUCUUGAAACACGGACCAAGGAGUCUAACGUCUAUGCGAGUGUUUGGGUUGU